rnacentral:lncRNA from 1 species
GACAUCAUGCCUCAUUUAUUCCAUACAGCUAAUAGCCCACUUUCUUUUCAAUUAGUGAAAAUGUCAAAUUAUUAAGCAACAAAUUAUCUAUCCAAAUUGAACAACGAAAAUCGAAACACUAAGUUACAAACCAAAUGCAUUCCAUCCGAUAAUCAAAUAUUAAAGAACUUCAAACUAUUUACGAAGCACCAACAUAUAACUACUCCAUCUAAACAUAUAUUAAAAUCAAAAAGCAACAAGAACCCAUUAAAACAAAAUAGAGAAGCUCAGAAAUGGACCUUUAUUGCUGUACAAAUUCUUGAAACAAUGAACAAAAAGCUUUAGGCUAGAGCUAUGGUUGAUAACCUCGACAAACUGGAACCUCAGUUUCCCAUUUCACUAGUGCUUGAAUAAGAAGUUCAAAUGGACAGAUAAAGGAGAAGAACAGAUAAAGGAGAAGAUGAGAAGGACAGAACCCAGCAAAGCAAUACCAAUAGAUUCAGCAAUCGAACAAUACUUAUACAGCUCAAAUGCCAAUCGAAUUUCAAGAAAAACUUAAGCAGAAAAGUGGAAGUUCAAAUAUCUUUUAAAUCCUCCUUUUUGUUUCAGUUUUUGUUUUUUUUUUCUGAAUCUAUCUUUUAUUCCCCCUAUCUCAAUCUUUCCCUCCCCGCUUUCACUUUUUAUCUGUCUCUCUAUGGAUGUAUCAAAGAGCAAGGAAAUCGAGAGAUGUCGGAAGAUGUGCGGUUGGUUUUUGUUUUGAGAGGAAGGGGUUUUUCCGCCUGGUUUCGGUGGAGGAUGGAAAAAUGGAUGAGGGUGGUGCAGCUGGGUGCUUCUGUAAGCUCAGGGUGAAGGCAAGUGGAGAUUUGGUUAUCAAAGAGAGUGAAGUUUGCUGCUCUUCUCUAGGUUCGAUAGAGUGACGCUUGGGUGGUGCGGCUGGAAACUUCAAAAAUUGCGAUUCUAGGUUGCUAGUGGUUUUAAGGAAAGUGGGCUGGUCAGGUGGAUGGGAGGGAGGAAGGUCUUGAGUCGUUCUGGUUUGGGUUCAAUUAAAAAGAAAUGUUGUUG